GGCCCGUUGCGGAAGGUCCGCACCCGCCUCCGAUAUGAUGUCCUUCGUUGUUUGAGAGUUAAGCAGGGACACGCUCGUUCGACUCGAGCACGGGCCA